rnacentral:rRNA from 1 species
UACAGAGGGUGCAAGCGUUGUUCGGAAUUAUUGGGCGUAAAGCGCGUGUAGGCGGCUUUGCAAGUCGGGUGUGAAAGCCCUCAGCUUAACUGAGGAAGUGCGCCCGAAACUGCUUGGCUUGAGUACCGGAGAGGAUGGUGGAAUUCCCCAAGUAGAGGUGAAAUUCGUAGAUAUGGGGAGGAACACCGGUGGCGAAGGCGACCAUCUGGACGGAUACUGACGCUGAGACACGAAAGCGUGGGGAGCAAACAGG